GUUAAUCUUCGUUAGGUGAGGCUCCUAUACGGAUACACGCUGCUGCCCGGAAACAUCGAGAGAUGCCAAUGGGCCAACAGGUAUUACCGAAGUAAGGUUUUACUUAAUGCAGCUGGAUGUUGAUGAUCCAAAGCUGUAUAGUGCCAAAGCUCUGCGAGUGAAGAUAAGA
rnacentral:sRNA from 2 species